rnacentral:piRNA from 1 species
UCUCAAGGUGGGUCACGGAAUACAUUU